GCGAAAAGAACCCCGGCGAGGGGAGUGAAAAAGAACCUGAAACCGUGUACGUACAAGCAGUGGGAGCCCCACCACUAAGCCAGUGGUGAACUCCACAUACGCAUCCUUUGCUGAGGAUACGGUUAACGGAGCGAAAGCGACGUUCAACCGCAAAAGAAGCAGAGGGGGCUUAGUGGUGGGGUGACUGCGUACCUUUUGUAUAAUGGGUCAGCGACUUAUAUUCUGUAGCAAGGUUAACCGAAUAGGGGAGCCGGAGGGAAACCGAGUCUUAACCGGGCGUUAAGUUGCAGGGUAUAGACCCGAAACCCGGUGAUCUAGCCAUGGGCAGGUUGAAGGUUGGGUAACACUAACUGGAGGACCGAACCGACUAAUGUUGAAAAAUUAGCGGAUGACCUGUGGCUGGGGGUGAAAGGCCAAUCAAACCGGGAGAUAGCUGGUUCUCCCCGAAAGCUAUUUAGGUAGCGCCUCGUGAAUUCAUCUCCGGGGGUAGAGCACUGUUUCGGCUAGGGGGCCAUCCCGGCUUACCAACCCGAUGCAAACUGCGAAUACCGGAGAAUGUUAUCACGGGAGACACACGGCGGGUGCUAACGUCCGUCGUGAAGAGGGAAACAACCCAGACCGCCAGCUAAGGUCCCAAAGUCAUGGUUAAGUGGGAAACGAUGUGGGAAGGCCCAGACAGCCAGGAUGUUGGCUUAGAAGCAGCCAUCAUUUAAAGAAAGCGUAAUAGCUCACUGGUCGAGUCGGCCUGCGCGGAAGAUGUAACGGGGCUAAACCAUGCACCGAAGCUGCGGCAGCGAACGUAUCACUUAAAGCGAUUCAGCG
rnacentral:rRNA from 2 species